CUCUGGAGAUUGUUUUGCGCCCUGCGACAGACUGGCGACCUGUCCAGGUGACCCCGCCUCUCCCCCGAAACAUUCACUGGAGAUAGACACCAGCACCUCCCGACCCCACUAGGGGCACGGGUGUUA